AAGCCGCGAGCAUCGCGAGAGUCACGUGACGUGCACGUGACCCUGGAGGCCGGGCCGGUGGGAGACAGUCUCUCUCAGGGUCGCGUAAGCCACCGACAGGUCUCAGGGCCCGGGGCAGGGCCGCUACCUUUAGCGGCCCCUGGACUGGCGCCAUUUCCUUGGCCCUUCUUGCUCUCGGAAAUGGGAACGCCCCGCUUCUUCCCAGAAGGGAAAACCGUUUGUGCCGGAGGGAGAAACAAGUGCCCCGGGCACCGGGCCGGAUGCACUACGCGAGGCGGGAGGGUAUCCACGCGGCCCCACAAUGCAAUGGGCUCCUGCGGUCCUUCGGGACGCUGCCGCAGUGACGUCAGAACCUGGUGCCGGGCACCGGCCCGGGGCGGCUGCGCCCCGUGUGAUAACGCUGUUUCCCCUGGCGGCGAGGACCGCGCCUCGCGCGCGUUUUCCUAGGUUGUGCGGCCGGAGGCCUCUUCAGUGUUUCCGAGUGGAGAAGACCGGCGGAGAGACAGGGAGACAAACAGAGACAUGGAAGGUAGCCUCCUCCUGGAGGCGCCCUACCAGGGAUCCAACCCAAAACUGUUUUGUGAGUGGGAUGACACCCUAGCCUUCCAAGCCACCUGACCAGGAAGGAAAGAAUGUCUUCAAGAUAGCUGAGACCAGCUGCUGACACCCAGGAGUCUGAAGUGAAAAAGUGUUAUCUGUGACUGAAGAAACACAAACCUCUCUCAAUUCCCUGGAACGCCCCCUUCUCUUUCUCCCCUUUAAAACUCUUCUGCUUGGUCUGGAACUUCGGAGAUGGUCUUUGGACAUUAGCCUGCUGUCUUCCCGAAUAAAGCAAACUUUCCUUUCCAUCCAACACUUGUCUCUGUAGUACUGGCUUUCGAGCAGCGAGAAGCCGAACUUGGGUUUUUCAGUAACCGGAAUUGAAUGGAAAUUAAUCCAAUAAAGUG